CCUACGGGAGGCAGCAGUGGGGAAUAUUGGACAAUGGGCGAAAGCCUGAUCCAGCCAUGCCGCGUGUGUGAAGAAGGCCUUCGGGUUGUAAAGCACUUUCAGUGGGGAAGAAAGCCUUGGGGCUAAUACCCUCGAAGAAGGACAUCACCCACAGAAGAAGCACCGGCUAACUCCGUGCCAGCAGCCGCGGUAAUACGGAGGGUGCGAGCGUUAAUCGGAAUUACUGGGCGUAAAGCGCGCGUAGGCGGUCUGAUAAGCCGGUUGUGAAAGCCCCGGGCUCAACCUGGGAACGGCAUCCGGAACUGUCAGGCUAGAGUGCAAGAGAGGAAGGGAGAAUCCCCGGUGUAGCGGUGAAGUGCGUAGAGAUCGGGAGGAAUACCAGUGGCGAAGGCGGCCUUCUGGACUGACACUGACGCUGAGGUGCGAAAGCGUGGGUAGCAAACAGGAUUAGAUACCCGGGUAGUC
rnacentral:rRNA from 1 species